rnacentral:rRNA from 1 species
GACGAACGCUGGCGGCGUGCUUAACACAUGCAAGUCGAACGGAAAGGCCCUGCUUGCAGGGUGCUCGAGUGGCGAACGGGUGAGUAACACGUGGGUGAUCUGCCCCUUACUUUGGGAUAAGCCUGGGAAACUGGGUCUAAUACUGGAUAGGACCAUGCUGUAGGUGGUGUGGUGGAAAGAUUAGUUUCGGUAAGGGAUGAGCUCGCGGCCUAUCAGCUUGUUGGUGGGGUAAUGGCCUACCAAGGCGUCGACGGGUAGCCGGCCUGAGAGGGUGGACGGCAACAUUGGGACUGGGAUACGGCCCAGACUCCUACGGGAGGCAGCAGUGGGGAAUAUUGCACGAUGGGCGCAAGCCUGGUGCAGCGACGCCGCGUGGGGGAUGACGGCCGUCGGAUUGUAAACGCCUUUCAGCCAUGACGAAGCCCUUGUGGUGACGGUAGUGGUAGAAGAAGCACCGGCUAACUACGUG